GCCCCACUGUUAACUAACACACACACACCUACUACCUGCCCCCCACUGUUAACUAACACACACACACAGGAAAGGUCGCUGGUUCAAAUCCCCCCGCCGACUAAAGUGAAAAUCUGACAAUGUGCCCUUGAGCAAGGCAACUAACCACACUGGCUCCUGUAAGUUGCUCUGGAUAAGAGCGUCUGCUAAAUGACUCCAAUUUCAAAGUGUAAAUUCACUUCCUGUAGUAGAGCCGGAAUGACUGCCUCAUGAAUAUUCAGAGACGGACUGUUGAAUGACUGCCUCAUGAAUAUUCAGAGACAGACUGUUGAAUGACUGCCUCAUGAAUAUUCAGAGACAGACUGUUGAAUGACUGCCUCAUGAAUAUUCAGAGACAGACUGUUGAAUGACUGCCUCAUGAAUAUUCAGAGACAGACUGUUGAAUGACUGCCUCAUGAAUAUUCAGAGACGGACUGUUGAAUGACUGCCUCAUGAAUAUUCAGAGACAGACUGUUGAAUGACUGCCUCAUGAAUAUUCAGAGACGGACUGGUACACUCCAAGACAAAAGCUUUUUAAAUGCUGUAAAUGUUUUACUCGUAACCUACAAGAUGAACUGAUUUUAACUUUCACCUGCUCUGACGUUCGUGUCUGAGAAGCACAUUAUUUUCUGCUCUGAUAGGAUAGUCUGAUAGGUUAGUUUAAUACACUGCUCUGAUAGGUUAGUUUAAUACACUGCUCUGAUAGGUUAGUUUAAUACACUGCUCUGAUAGGAUAGUCUGAUAGGUUAGUUUAAUACACUGCUCUGAUAGGUUAGUUUAAUACUCUGCUCUGAUAGUCUGAUAGGGUAGUUUAAUACACUGCUCUGAUAGGAUAGUUUUAUACACUGCUCUGAUAGGAUAGUCUGAUAGGUUAGUUUAAUACACUGCUCUGAUAGGUUAGUUUUAUACACUGCUCUGAUAGGUUAGUUUUAUACACUGCUCUGAUAGGUUAGUUUAAUACACUGCUCUGAUAGGUUAGUUUAAUACACUGCUCUGAUAGGUUAGUUUAAUACACUGCUCUGAAGACUGUUGAUGCCAUUGGAGAUCCACAAACUGACUGUGGAAUGUUUUGGUUCCUGAUGGUCAAAUCUGAAGCCCUAUUCUCUAUAGUAGGGGUCAAAUCUGAAGCCCUAUUCUCUAUGUAGUGCACUAAGGGGAUAGUAGGGGUCAAAUCUGAAGCCCUAUUCUCUAUGUAGUGCACUAAAGGGAUAGUAGGGGUCAAAUCUGAAGCCCUAUUCUCUAUGUAGUGCACUAAGGGGAUAGUAGGGGUCUGCACUAUGAAGGGAAUAGGGGGGAUAAUUUGAAGAUGAAGCCUUUUUGUCACUGAUACGGUUGUGGUUUUAUACAGUACCAAUGUAAAAGCACAUUGACGAUCUAUAUUCCUUUAAUUAUGAAUGAGAUGAUGCUUUAUGGAUUCAUCCCAGACUGCUCUCUGUUUUCUACACAGAUGCAGACCUUUGAGGGAAAACUUUUAUACUUUGGGUUUUUGGAAUAAUAAAAUGAAAAUAAAUAAAUAAAACAUGUGGUGAACUAAACCGACCGGUAUGGUGUUCUUUAUCAACAUGAAUGUGGUGAACUAAACCGACCGGUAUGGUGUUCUUUAACAACAUGAAUGUGG
ensembl:lncRNA